AGGAAUAUAGUUAAUUAUAACACCUGGGUUGCAUUCAGGAAGUGCUAUCUGGCUGUUCUUA
rnacentral:tRNA from 1 species